ensembl:piRNA 21ur-12062 ncRNA
UUCCGCAAUCAAAUACGGUUU